UCCUUCGCCUUUAUCUUUUAUCCUCCCCAUCUCCGGUCCACCCCUCGCCCCCUCCCCCUACAAGCAGAGGCGGGCGUGCUGGGUGGCCCCGGGCUCGGGCCCCGCCCUGCGCUCGCACCUGCUCCGCGGCCGGUGGAUUCCCCGCCCCCGGCUCCGCGGCUGGAGGGAAUGUGGGUCAACGCGGAGCCGCUGCGCCUGUGCUUGGAAGCAGAUGGAGGACCCGGGACCUCUGCUGGCGCGGGAGCGGCAAGCGGCCGCUUGCGUAGCCUAGGAUGCGGGCCCGCUGGCCCCUCCUCGCCCCCUCAGCCCGCGGGAGGCUGCCUCCCUCCGUGAUACCCCGGCCGCUGCGCCCAGCGCGCCCGCACUUCAUCUGGCAGGUCGGAGGGUCUUCCCUCCAGGACGUGGUUCCCGCUACCCCUCGCUGCCCCCUAGUGUCAUCCCCCGGACUGCGCAGGCUGGAGCCCAGCCCUGGAGCACGCCCCUGUGAGCAUCUGUCUGACGCCCCCAGACUCCGGCCCUUCUGCCCAGCCUAGGCCUUGGAUUCCUCCUGGAUUUAAGCCUGAUCCUGGAAAGCCCUACUCCUUGUUCACCUGACCAGUGGGUCACCUUAACCCAGAACCGUUCCAAACCCUGUCGCCAGAAUGCUGCUUCCUGCCCUGUUUCCCGGGAUCCACAAUUUGCAUCUGUCAGUGACCAGGCUGAGCGCUGGCCUGUCAGGGAGGCUGGUGUCUGUGAACCCCAGCAAGAUGAGCUUCUCAUAUAGGAAGCAGGAGGCCUGCCCGAGUCAGAGGCUGCCAGAGUCCAUCCACCCCCACUCCACCCCCCACCCCACCCCCACCACCCCUGCCCUCACAGGGCUCCAGGUUUGAAAGACUUUGCCUGGCGUCCUCAGUCAUGUCAGACUCUUUUUGACCCCAAGGACUUUAGCCCGCCAGGCUCCUCUGUCCAUGGGAUUCUUCAAGCAAGAAUCCUGGAGUGGGUUGCUAUUUCCUUUUCCAGGGUAUCUUCCAGACCCAGGGAUGGAACCUCUGUCUGCUGCAUUGUCAAGGCAGGUUCUUUACCACUGCACCACCUUCAGACAAAUCAUCUGUGGAGCCCUGCGGCUGUCUUGGUAAACAGCGCUCAAGAAAAGCCAGGGUGGGCCCUGCCCACUCAGUUAGGAAACAGAUUUGGAUUCAGUUUAGUUUUGUUUUUAUUUGAAGCUUUGGUCACCGGCAGGUUAUCAGGGCAGGUUAUCACCGUUGAGGAUCUUCCUUCCCAUCAACUCCUGCUGAGUUCUGAGGCUCUGAAAUUCUCAGGGGAACAGACACUGGUUAAUAAAACUUGGAAGCGGCUUUUUUUUUUUUUUUUCAUGAAGUAACCCUCCUUUCAUGUCUGUUUACUGCCGGGCUCCACGUAGCAACGUCUGAUUAAAUGCCCAACAUGUCCUGGGGCGAGAGACACAUAAUUGCAGUGCUUCGUUUUCCCAUGUGAUGAUUAAGGAAGGCUUUGCUCAUUUUGUACCUGUGGGAAAGAGACGAUGUUAGUAUUUGGAUUUGAAAACUUGUUGGUGUUGCUGUCCUGAGAGUGUGAUACAGUGUGGGUUGCCCCUGCAAUGGUUACUAUACAUCUUUGAAAACAGAAAAGAUUUUUGGUGCCAGACGGUACAAUGGGGCAUGGAGGGAGGUAUUCCCAGCCUGCCUUAUAUGUAAUGUUACACACAACAGCAGGACAUAUUUCUUCCUCAAACACUAGAUAAACAACAUACACCAUAAAUGAGGAUCCUUUGUCAUUAAAGAUCUCAGUGUGACUAAUGUUUUGGACCUGCCACAAGGCUUUUUUUCUCAAGUAAAAGGAGAAAAUACGCCUACCUGUACUGCUUCUUCUAUGGAACUUUCCUGCCUCUGACUCUAUGGGGAGAAUGGAAAGAGCCUGGCCGAGGAGUCAGGAUGUUCAGUGAUGAAUUUGGCUGUGAGCUGUCUGUGUUUGUUGCAGAAAUAGCUGUCCUUCUCUGGUCUCAAUUGCAUUAUAUGUUAAUGGACAAGAGAGAAAUCUACCUUCUUCCCUCUCUUUCUCCUUCCCUCCUUCACUUCCCUCCCCUUCCUUGUUUUCCAUUUUUGGGGGGUUGAUUUGUUUGUUUCUUGGGUUUUCUUGGCUGCACUGGGUCCUCCUC
ensembl:lncRNA